AGGCAACUCUUGUGGAUGAUUGGCAGGGGGUGGGCCUCUGUGUUGAAGACCCAGUCCUCCAAUGGCAGAAGGUCAUCAUCAGAGAAGAGCAGUCCUAACACAUGUAGGUCAGCUGAAUUGGCUGUACUAUGAGUGUGUGUGUCGGCUGGUGUCUCCCUGCCUGUUGCCCAAUGAUUGCUGGGAUAGGCUCCAGCAUCUCCACGAAUCCAAGAGCAGGGCAGUUAAUCCAGCAGCUACCCAAACACCAAAGAGCAACCUGGUGGAUGCAGAUGAAAGAGCGGACUGGAGAAGGCUUUGGGGUAGCGGAUCAAACGUACUCAAAACGUAUCAGGGAACCUGUUACGGCAUGAGUCAUAUUUGCUUCCUAGAAAAACAAGCGUGAGGAAGGAAACCUUUGAUGAUGAGUCCCGCCUGCCCAAUGAUGGAGGGAGAACAAAUAGUUGUUUGAAACGAGCUGUGGACAUGAGUUUUUUCUUUGUGUGUGGGUCACAGAAUGAAGAAUGGGAAGAGAAAACCGAUCAUACACAGGUUUUCCGUAAAGUGUGGGUGUGGCCUGUCACUUUCAAUUUUUCUUGUUCUCCCUUUGUGUCUUCAAUUUGAAAUGCAGACCCUUUUUAAAACUCUUGACCUGCUUUCUAGGUUUGUGUAGCCACUGAGCCGUGUGUGGUCUCAACUUGUCCAUCCAUUAUCUGAACUGCUAAUGCUGUUGUCAGGGUUGUGGGGAGACAAUUUAGCAUGGCCAAUUCGCUUGACUUACAUGUCUUUAGAAUGGGGGAGGAAACCCAUGCAGACAUGGGGAGUACAUGCUAACUCCACACAGAGGAUGUACUGGGAUGACCCACCAAGCAUGGACUAUCUCGGGGCUGAAACCCAGGACUUUCUUGCUGUGAGGUGACCAUGCUAGCCAAUGUGUCACUGUCUUAACUUGUAUUCUCACAAUAUUUAUCUUCCCUCUUUCUCUUUGCUCUACACUGUUCCUCAAAUUUUAACUGAUAUUGGAAUUACAACAGGUUGCUGGUAUUGAUAUCAAACAAAUGAUGAGCAGCGCCACAAGUCAUCCUGUGUGCACCAUUACUUAUGCUUGCAGUUGGAGUUGUUAGGGAAUAUUGAGGAAAGAUGUCAGAUUUUGCUGCUCCCUGUUAGGUCUGCCUUUUGAGGCCUAGCCAACAGGAACGAUGCUCUACUUCAUUCAGGGCAAAAUUCAAAUGCCUGAGACCCUUUUAAUUUGCAAUAUCGCUCUCCUAGACUCAAUUUUCUCACUUUCUACUCCACCAAAUUCACCGUUAAGUAGACGAACAUAGUGCGGCAGAAUGGUGAUGAAUCAUGAAAUUUCACAGGAUUUAUUAAUGGCCAGCCUGCAAUAAGUUGAAAAAUGUAAUAUUAUUUUGAUUUGAAUAUUGGGAAAUAGGAACACUGUGUGGGAAUGAAUUAUGGAUGCUUUUUGGGCGAUAUAGACUUUUUAAGUGUGAGGAGAU